rnacentral:rRNA from 1 species
UGCUAAUGCGUGGCCAGAAGGCGCGGGAGUGCUGAGGGUGUGAUCGUUAAUCGGAUGUACUGGGCGUAAGUCGUGUGUAGGUGGCGUCCUGAUUCGGUUGUGAAAUCCCUGGGGUCAACCUGGGAAUUGCAUGCGAUACUGGGAAGCGCGAGUUCGGUAGAGGGCGGCGGAAUUCCCGGUGUAGCGGUGAAAUGCGGAGAUAUCGGGAGGAACAUCGAUGGCGAAAGCAACCGUCUGGGCCUGAACUGACACUGAGACACGAAAGCGUGGGGAGCAAACAGGAUUAGAUACCCCUGUAGUC